GUAAAAGAAUACAAAACCGCAAAGGAGGAACGUGAAGUACAACGGCGGUACACCGUUAAAUGCAAAAAAAGCCAAGCCUUAGUUGCCUUUCUUGCUUUUUUUUAACUAACCCAAACCCUCCUUCUCAGAUAAAAACCCCCAACUCCGCUUGCUUUCUCAUCUCUCUCAAAACCCUCUAUAGAAGUCUCUCUGUUUCUGGUAUUCAAAUUUCAAAAUUCAACUAUGUCUUGCUUCAAGGGCAAAUACACCGAUGAGCUCAUUGCCAAUGCUGCUUACAUUGGCACCCCUGGAAAGGGAAUCCUUGCAGCAGAUGAAUCAACUGGCACAAUAGGCAAGCGUCUAGCUAGCAUCAAUGUUGAGAAUGUUGAGGACAACAGAAGGGCGCUUCGAGAACUCCUCUUCACCACCCCUGGUGCUCUCCAAUGCCUCAGUGGCGUGAUUCUCUUUGAGGAAACCCUUUACCAGAAGUCAAAAUCAGGCAAGCCUUUUGUUGACAUCUUGAAGGAGGGAGGUGUCCUUCCUGGUAUUAAAGUUGACAAGGGUACCGUUGAACUUGCUGGCACCAAUGGUGAGACUACAACCCAGGGUCUUGAUGGCCUUGCACAGCGAUGCCAGAAGUACUACGAGGCUGGCGCUCGCUUUGCCAAAUGGCGUGCUGUACUCAAGAUUGGCCCCAAUGAGCCAUCUCAGCUUGCCAUCAAUGAGAAUGCCAAUGGGUUGGCCAGAUAUGCCAUCAUCUGCCAGGAGAACGGGUUGGUCCCUAUUGUGGAGCCUGAGAUCUUGGUUGAUGGACCUCAUGACAUUAACAAGUGUGCCGAGGUCACUGAGCGCGUUCUUGCUGCCUGCUACAAAGCUCUCAAUGACCACCAUGUCUUGCUUGAGGGAACUCUUUUGAAGCCCAACAUGGUGACCCCAGGAUCAGAAUCCAAAAAAGUUGCACCUGAGGUGAUUGCUGAGUACACUGUCCGUGCCCUCCAACGCACUGUGCCUGCUGCAGUUCCUGCUAUUGUGUUCUUGUCUGGAGGCCAGAGUGAGGAGGAGGCCACCCUUAACCUCAAUGCCAUGAACAAGCUCAAGACCAAGAAGCCAUGGUCUCUAUCCUUCUCCUUUGGACGUGCCCUUCAACAGAGUACCCUUAAGGCAUGGGCUGGCAAGGAGGAGAAUGUGAAGAAGGCUCAGGAUGCAUUCAUCGUCAGGUGCAAGGCCAACUCAGAGGCAACUCUUGGAACUUACAAAGGCGAUGCCACUCUCGGUGAGGGUGCUUCAGAGAGCCUCCAUGUCAAGGACUACAAAUACUAAGAGGUCUCAAAGUGUGUUUGAAAGUGAUGAGUAAUAGGAUGUCUCAUCUCAGGCAUAGUAAUUGUAGUUUCUUCUUUUCUUAAGUUAAUGAUAGGAUUUAGCUUGAAGUAGCAUAAUAAAAGGUCGAGGAAACAUCGGCGUGUUGAGUUUGAAUGGUUUUGGACAGUUUCGGUGGAGAACUGUUUUAAUGUUUUGUUUUCCUACAAUUUAUUGAAUUUCAACGAUAUCUGAUGGAAACAUAGAUCUGUGCACUUGUUAUUUUCAUUGUGAAUUAUGUAUGCUGUAACCUUAUAGUCAAUCUUCGCUCGUUAUCUUGAUAAAAGAUGCAAGACUUUCUGGGAAUGCGGGCCUAAAAUGAAGAGUAUUCGAGCGUGGCCUUGUUCCCAAAGGGUUGCUGCCUGUGCGGGUAAGAUGUAUUUUUGUUGUUGCUCGGGUUGACGAUCUCGUAUGCAGGCAAAUGGAAAUGGAUUUUGGAGGGGAAAUUAGUUUCAUGAUGUAAAAACUAAAAGAAAUGAUGGUAUCAAAAUAUUUAUGGUUGAGUUUAAAAUUUAAAUAGAGCUUUGUUAUUUUAUAUGUCAUGAAUUUUAGAUAUAUUAUAUUGUGAUUUGGC
rnacentral:misc_RNA from 1 species